rnacentral:rRNA from 1 species
UGGGGAAUUUUGCACAAUGGGGGAAACCCUGAUGCAGCGACGCCGCGUGAUUUAGAAGGCCUUCGGGUUGUAAAAAUCUUUUCUAUGGGAAGAAAAUGACAGUACUAUAGGAAUAAGGACCGGCUAAUUACGUGCCAGCAGCCGCGGUAAUACGUAAGGUCCGAGCGUUGUCCGGAAUCAUUGGGCGUAAAGGGUACGUAGGCGGGUAAGCAAGUUAGAAGUGAAAUCCUAUAGCUCAACUAUAGUAAGCUUUUAAAACUGCUCAUCUUGAGGUAGGGAAGGGAAAGUGGAAUUCCUAGCGUAGCGGUGAAAUGCGCAGAUAUUAGGAGGAAUACCGGUGGCGAAGGCGACUUUCUGGCCAUAACCUGACGCUGAGGUACGAAAGCGUGGGUAGCAAACAGG